rnacentral:rRNA from 1 species
AGUCGAACGAGACGAUUGAAAGCUUGCUUUUGAGAGUCGAGUGGCAAACGGGUGAGUAACGCGUAGACAACCUGCCGUAAAGAUGGGGACAACAGUUCGAAAGGACUGCUAAUACCGAAUGUUGUAGAGUUUCCGCAUGGGGAUCCUACUAAAGGUGGCCUCUACUUGUAAGCUAUCGCUUUACGAUGGGUCUGCGUCUGAUUAGCUAGUUGGUGGGGUAACGGCCUACCAAGGCGACGAUCAGUAGCCGGUCUGAGAGGAUGAACGGCCACAUUGGAACUGAGACACGGUCCAGACUCCUACGGGAGGCAGCAGUGGGGAAUCUUCCGCAAUGGGCGCAAGCCUGACGGAGCAACGCCGCGUGAGUGAAGAAGGGUUUCGACUCGUAAAGCUCUGUUGUCGGGGACGAAUGUGGAGAUGGUGAAUAACCAUUUCCAAUGACGGUACCUGACGAGGAAGCCACGGCUAACUACGUGCCAGCAGCCGCGGUAAUACGUAGGUGGCGAGCGUUGUCCGGAAUUAUUGGGCGUAAAGGGAGCGCAGGCGGGAAGGUAAGUCUAUCUUAAAAGUGCGGGGCUCAACCCCGUGAGGGGAUGGAAACUAUCUUUCUUGAGUGCAGGAGAGGAAAGCGGAAUUCCUAGUGUAGCGGUGAAAUGCGUAGAUAUUAGGAGGAACACCAGCGGCGAAGGCGGCUUUCUGGACUGUAACUGACGCUGAGGCUCGAAAGCGUGGGGAGCGAACAGGAUUAGAUACCCUGGUAGUCCACGCCGUAAACGAUGAAUGCUAGGUGUAGGAGGUAUCGACCCCUCCUGUGCCGGAGUUAACGCAAUA